AUUGAACGCUGGCGGAAUGCUUUACACAUGCAAGUCGAACGGUAGGGGGGGCAACCCCUUGAGAGUGGCGAACGGGUGAGUAAUAUAUCGGAACGUGCCCAGUCGUGGGGAUAACGUAGCGAAAGCUACGCUAAUACCGCAUACGAUCUACGGAUGAAAGCGGGGGGAUCGCAAGACCCCGCGCGAUUGGAGCGGCCGAUAUCAGAUUAGGUAGUUGGUGAGGUAAAGGCUCACCAAGCCGACGAUCUGUAGCUGGUCUGAGAGGACGACCAGCCACACUGGGACUGAGACACGGUCCAGACUCCUACGGGAGGCAGCAGUGGGGAAUUUUUGGACAAUGGACGCAAGUCUGAUCCAGCCAUUCCGCGUGCAGGAUGAAGGCCCUCGGGUUGUAAACUGCUUUUGUACGGAACGAAAAGGUUUCUAUUAAUACUAGGAGCUCAUGACGGUACCGUAAGAAUAAGCACCGGCUAACUACGUGCCAGCAGCCG
rnacentral:rRNA from 1 species